ensembl:snRNA U6 U6 spliceosomal RNA
GUGCUUGCUUUAGCUGACAUAUACUAAAAUUGGAAUGAUACAGAAAAGAUUAGCAUGGCCCUUGAAAAAGGAUGACAUGCGAAUUUGUGAAGCAUUCCAUAUUUUU